AGUAAUGCUUCAUGAUCCUGAUUCCAGUCGUUUAAAAUUUUUAAUAGGGCCCAAUACAAAAACUCAGUGAGUAAGUCCUCACCUUACAUGUGUCAGCAUCCCAUAU